rnacentral:lncRNA from 1 species
AUAGCCUAAUUACCUUUAGGGAGUUAAAACCCUCAAGAAAUUUGAGUCUAGCACUCAAUUUUGGGGAUACAAUUGACCCACAAUGAUUUAGGGUUUUGAGUCAAGAAAUCAUGAAAUUAAUAUCAAAUUAGAGAAAUUCAUACCUUGGAUUUGUAGUAGAAAGGUGAAUUACACAAGUUGUUAAGGUUUCAAUCAACCCACAAGACCAAUUUUUUUGAGUCUCCACUCUCCUAGGGCUGCUAGG